UACGUAGGUGGCAAGCGUUGUCCGGAAUUAUUGGGCGUAAAGCGCGCGCAGGUGGUUUCUUAAGUCUGAUGUGAAAGCCCACGGCUCAACCGUGGAGGGUCAUUGGAAACUGGGGAACUUGAGUGCAGGAGAGAAGAGUGGAAUUCCACGUGUAGCGGUGAAAUGCGUAGAGAUGUGGAGGAACACCAGUGGCGAAGGCGACUUCCUGGCCUGUUCUUGACGCUGAGGCGCGAAAGCUAGGGUAGCAAACGGG
rnacentral:rRNA from 1 species